GUGGGGAAUAUUGGACAAUGGGCGAAAGCCUGAUCCAGCCAUGCCGCGUGAGUGAUGAAGGCCUUAGGGUUGUAAAGCUCUUUCAGUAGGGAAGAUAAUGACGGUACCUACAGAAGAAGCCCCGGCUAACUUCGUGCCAGCAGCCGCGGUAAUACGAAGGGGGCUAGCGUUGUUCGGAUUUACUGGGCGUAAAGCGCACGUAGGCGGAUUGGUCAGUUAGAGGUGAAAUCCUGGAGCUCAACUCCAGAACUGCCUUUAAUACUGCCAGUCUAGAGUCCAGAAGAGGUGAGUGGAACUCCUAGUGUAGAGGUGGAAUUCGUAGAUAUUAGGAAGAACACCAGUGGCGAAGGCGGCUCACUGGUCUGGUACUGACGCUGAGGUGCGAAAGCGUGGGGAGCAAACAGGAUUAGAAAUCCCGGUAGUCC
rnacentral:rRNA from 1 species